GGACGCGGCCGAGGAGGGUCGCUGUCCACCCGGGGGCGUGGGAGUGAGGACUGCAAGAUGGAGGAAGGCGGGAACCUAGGAGGCCUGAUUAAGAUGGUCCAUCUACUGGUCUUGUCAGGUGCCUGGGGCAUGCAAAUGUGGGUGACCUUCGUCUCAGCUUUACCUGCUGUUCCUGAGCCUUACGCUGGCCACUGUCAACGCCCGCUGGCUGGAACCCCGCACCACAGCUGCCAUGUGGGCCCUGCAAACCGUGGAGAAGGAGCGAGGCCUGGGUGGGGAGGUACCAGGCAGCCACCAGGGUCCCGAUCCCUACCGCCAGCUGCGAGAGAAGGACCCCAAGUACAGUGCUCUCCGCCAGAAUUUCUUCCGCUACCAUGGGCUGUCCUCUCUUUGCAAUCUGGGCUGCGUCCUGAGCAAUGGGCUCUGUC
rnacentral:lncRNA from 1 species